GCUGUGGAGUGCGUGACCAAUGACAGCGCAGAGUUUUCCUGGAUACUGUGAAUGAGGACCUCCUGCUUACCACCGCAUGAGGCGCAAAGGAGGCGUAAACAUUUAUAGCUAGGUACCUCACAAGGUAAUGGACAUGAGCAGCAACAGUGACUGCUUUGGAUGUGGCCGCUCUGGACAUUGGAUCAAGGACUGUCCUAAUGCCAUGGGACGUGCACGAGGCAAGGGCAGAGGACGAGGCAAAGACAUGUUGUGCUUUCGAUGUGGAGA